rnacentral:rRNA from 1 species
UACGUGAGAGGCAAGCGUUAUCCGGAUUUAUUGGGCAUAAAGAGCAUGUAGGCGGUAUCUUAAGUCAGAUGUUAAAACCAACAGCUCAACUGUUGUUCGCAUCUGAUACUGGGUUACUUGAGAUCAGUAGAGGAAAGUGGAACUCACAGUGUAGCGGUGAAAUGCGUAGAUAUUGUGAGGAACACCAGUGGCGAAGGCGACUUUCUGGACUGAAUCUGACGCUGAGAUGCGAAAGCGUGGGGAGCAAACAGG